UCUUGGUGUUAUUUAACUACUAAACACUGUCUUCACUAUAAACACAUUAGGUAAGACUUUGUCAAAACAAUCACAUACUUUUGCAACAAUAUAGAUUUCCCUUCGUCUAAUUUAAAUCUAUAAUAUAAAACCAUUUUUCUCAAAUGUGAAUCAAACCCGUUGUACUAGAAUAACAAUUGUUAAUUAAACCAUUUCUCACUGGUUUUAAAGUUACAAUUUUUCUGUCAACGCUUUUUUGCCUGACACGACAGCACCAGUUGCAACUUUUUGUGCUUAUACGACAGUUGCCGUCCGAUCUUCUGAUCAAAGGUGGUCAAUCUCUUAAAAAGGUGAAAUUGCAGUGACAAAUUUUCGAUCUCUUUCGGAUGAUAUUAAUUUGAACACAUUGCUAUACUGGGGAGGAUGACCCUUAUUUCCCUAUACCACUUUAUCUUGAAAAGGGACUAACCAAUGAAGUAUGACUAUGCAUUCUAGAUCUUUUAGUUUUAUCGACACUGUCUGUUUUGAGAUUGUUUCAUUCUACUAUCCUUUCUUGAAAAUUGGUUGUGAAAGCAUGUUCAAAUACUUCUGCUGCUAAAUUAACUUCCGAAACUAAUGCUCAGGUAUUCACUAUUUCCAAUUACUUUGCUGUUAUGGUGGUUUAAUAAUUGUUUUAUUAGUUUCUAAUGAUUUCAUUGGUUAUGUAGAAAAAUACUUAUUUGUUGCAGCUGGAACUAGAUAUGAAGAAUAGACAAUCUAGAUUAAUGGAUGUCAGUGGGAACUCUCAGUGGAGAUAUUAAUCUGGUAAUAAUUGUUUAAAAAUCAGUAAAUGGCUUUCUUUGAUUGUAACAAUAACAAUUGUAGUGGCCACUAAUUACAGCCACUAAAAAUCUGGUAAAAAUUACUUUCUUUAUUAAGAUCGAUGGUGUUUGAAUCAGCGGGCAUGUCCUGGCGUGUGCGGCUAUUAAUUGUGAGAAACCAAAGUCUGGGUCAAAGCAUCAAUAUGCCAAGUUCAAAUCAACAGGUUAAUUCUAAGUUAGGUGUCAUUGAUCGGGUCCAAGGGAGGUUCGAUUCGAUUGAGGAUUUGUUUGAAUGAUCAAUUGAGGGGAUUAUCAGUUGGUCGCAGCUCCUUCGCUCAUCAGAUAGCGUAGCUUUGCAUCUGAUUUCUAUCGCAUCAAGUAAUCUGUAGCCUGAGGCUGAAUGUUUCUAUCGAUGUUUCGAGCCUGAUUUGAAUCAAUGCUGCAGCAUUCAGGGCAGCCUUUCAUGUGCAUUUUGUUGUUGUUGUUUGACUGCGUAUGAUGUGCAUUUAUAUCGAACCGCUUAAAAUACCAGUGGAAUAGUAUUCCAAUGUUUUAGCUUUCUGGUUGGAACAAUGAUUUUGGUGUUAAUAGCUUGGUUUAUGAUAGGGUAUAUAAUUUUCUUUCUGUCACAGGGAACUGAUAAACACAUCGUUGUGUCGACAACAUAUAUGCCGAUAUUCGAUUCAAUGUUAACGGUCGACCACACUUACAAUUUGUACUCCAAACAAAAACUUGUGCUCCUAAUGAUGCACCGGACGCCAUGCUCUGAGAAAGCGACUUGAAGAGCUUGGAUACGAACUUAAAGACGACCAAGUUGAGAGUUUGUUUUGGCAUUUCAAAGUUGUGGCUGAGCAAAAGAAGGAAGCAUGGAUUUCUAUAUUGAAGGAAGCAUGGAUUUCUAAUGCUUAAGUUAGCAACGAGACAUGAAGGUUACAAACAGAAGGAAUCCAUGGAUUCUGCAACUUUCCAGCAUCAGCAGCAGCACCUGAAAUCAACUCUGGUGGUGAUUGUCCUAACUCAUCGUCAUUGGUUUACGGGAACUGUGAAUUAAUUCAGCCUUACAAAGGUCUUCAACCUGAGCUUUUCUUCAAGAUGUCACAUGACAUCUAUAACUAUGGAGAAGGACCAUAGACCUCAUUGCUGUUAGAGAAUGUGUUGUUCAAUUAGAAGAUGUUCACAAGAUUAGGCAGCAUUCUUCUCCUUCGGGUGAUGCUUCUCAGAAGUUGGCUCGUUACUUUGUGGAUGCAUUGAAGCACGUAUGGUUUGUGUCGGUACUGGUACACAGAUAUUAUAUAUGAGCCAGAAGAUGAUUAAUGUUGCUGAUUACUAGAAAGCAUACCAAGCUUCACAUCACCGGAAUAGAGUAUCCCCAAGCUGGCUUUCGGCCAGCUGAAAGAAUCGAGGAAACUGGUCGGCGUUUAGCUUGCUCUGAUGUUCAAAUAUUAUCGCAGCGGUUGGGUCUAUCACUCGGAUACAUCGUCAAAGGUGGAGCUGUGACAGAUUUUCUUUGAAUAACCAAGGCGCUGCAGUAUUAUAUCUAUGACUGCAGUAUUGUGUCCGCUGAUUUUUUAGAGAUUCCGCGUCUGAUCAAUUCUAUUUCAAGUGGGUUUGCUCUGCUAGAUUGUUUUUGUUACAGAUUCAGUCUGGUAUUGGUGACUGUUAAGGUUUUUAUUCUGCAGAAUUUAGCACUUGGCAGUGGUGACUGUAGUUUUAGUAUUAAGAAUUUGAUUGUAUUUGGAACUCUAUAUUAUUGUCUAUUUGUAUUGGUUUUGG